CUCUUUCUGUCUGGGGGCACCUUUCUCUCUUCCUGCCUCUCUGUUUCGGUUUGCUUCUGUCAUUGUUUCUGUCUUUCUGUUUCUCUUUCUCCUUCUCUUCUCAUUUCUCUCUCUGCCUGACUUUGUCUGUUCGUCUGUCUGUCUGUCUGUCUGCCUCCUGUCUCUCUCUCUUCUUCUCCAUCUCUCUCCCCUGGCAUGGGCCUCUCUCCCAUGCUGCCAGCCCCUCUGUAGCCCACCCUGUGGUUCUCUUCCAUCAGCUGCUUCCUGCAUGCUCUGUGGAGGUUUUCUGUUGUUUGAACAGUAAAGAAAGCUUGGCUAGUGGAACCCAUUGUUUAAAAAGGAGAAAAAAAAAAGCAAACAGAAAUGGCCGGGCAAGAGCCCCCUCCCAUUCCUGGGAUGAGAUAAAAGCCACGUUGGCCACCCAUCUACUGGCUCAGAGGGGGAGCACAGUCUAGGGUCACUGUCUUUCCCCCAUUCUGCAUUCCCAAUGCGGAGACCUUCUUUUCUUUUUUAUUAUUGCAUUCCUGUCCCUGACCACUGAGAAGAAGCCCAGCUCGCCCUCGCCCAGGGCCCGUGACAAGGCGGCGGCCG
rnacentral:sRNA from 1 species